rnacentral:tRNA from 1 species
GGCACGGUGGCAUAGUGGUUAGCACUGUUACCUUGCAAGAACGAGGUUCCGGGUUCGAAUCCGAGUCCGACCG